rnacentral:rRNA from 1 species
CAACCAACGGCACCAGGAAGGUUACGGUGUCCGAGUGUUCAGUGUUGAUUGUGACUCAAGUAACGUCAUACCGUCGCUCAAACUUCGGUUGCGGCCGUUAGGAUGAGUCGUCGGGGACGAGCAGUGGACGGAUGAGGAGAGCAGAGGGAGAGGUUGGCAGAGGGGCCGGGGCGAGAGGGGUACAGGUUCGUAGUGGACGGUGCCUUCGAUGUGGCUGGAGAUCUUAACUCGUGCUUUGUUCUCCAUGUAUGUUGGUACACCGGAGACGACCGCAACGGCGAUGAGGCUUCUGCGACAGGUCGAUACUCGGGAGAGACACCCCGCUGAUGAAGGAGUCGAUGCUCGGUUUUGGUGACGUCUCCAGUCUUUUUACCUACUAACGUUCUCGACUAUUUAAUUUCCUCCUGUAGUUGUACAACAAACUCUCGACGUUCACGUGGCACCUUUCUUAUUGGAACAACCUGUCACAGGUUGCAGAGCCUUAUCUAGUAGUGAAAUUCUUUGUCCAACUAUAGCGCAAUUCAGUUUAAUAGCUCCUACUUAAGUGAUCGAGAUCGGAGGUAGUGCAGCGGGAGGCCAAACCGAACGAAGCUCUUGUACCGGAAACCCAUAGAAGUCUACGAAAGUUGUUUAAAUUCUUACUUCUAGCCUCGAAAUCCUUUCUAUAAUGGUUGCUGGGCUUCCCUGAAAAUAGAGAUAUGUUGUGUCGGGUAGAAGAGCAAGUAUCACUCGGUAGUAACCUUCUUCGAUAGAGAAAACGUUCCGUAGUAGAACUUAACUACUCCCUGUCAGAGUUCAGAGGAAAUCGGCUCGUUCAAGUCGCACGGGAAGUGCAUGGUAACGGUUCCUGCAACUUUUCCCACCUUUGUAACGUAAUAUAGAGACUCAUGUUCGUGCUCCUUACCGUAUUGGGAUGAGAUAACCUCGAACGUUUCGACCUAAAAUUGGAAGAUGUUGUACAUGUGAACUUCCUUGAGUUUAUAGAGUGAUUCACCACCGCACUAGACAUGUUCACACAGCCCGAUUUGAUACGAGCCCUGGCGGACCACCUCCCAAUGUAAACCACGAUACGCUAUAUGGUACUCUUUCUUAAACGCAAGAGCUCUUAUAAAGAAUGGUUCGUUAACUACGAAUAAAGGGAUUACCUACUGUGUAUACUACGGGUACGGUGGUAGCUCCUUACAGCUGUUGAUUUACGCCGGUAUGUUUCUACCCUACUCUCCCGGUGAAGAGAAGAUGGGUUGAUGGAAUUUUCCAAAAUAUGACUUGAUAACUCCUAUAAAUUUCUACGGUGCUGACUUCACCGUUAAACACUGUGAAUGGUACAACGGAUACAGGCUUUUCGCCAUUUGGUGGUACAUGGAAUAUAGAAAUGGUAGUAAAAAAUCUCACAAGCAAAACACAAGUUAAACAAAAAGAAGAUACUUCAAAGUUCUAAACAGGCGAAUAAUAGAGGUUCUUCAACUUACCAAUGUGGUCUUAGUGUUCGGUUCGAAAUUUCUAGUGAACUCAAAUAGUCGGUACAGGUAUCCUAGUGGUUGCGAUACACAUCCAAACUACCAACCGUACCCUCUAGGUUAUUGUUCCCUUCGCAAACUCACCCGUCGACCAAUGGGUUUACAGCGGUAUUGCACGCCCUUCUAUCGUGCAGAUUACCUACUGUAACGGCGUAAGUGUCCGCCCUUCCGGUUCCCCCUAUACCGUUCGAGAUGUCUCACAAUGUACCAACUCGUAUCCCAGUGUUCACUCCAACGGUAAAGGUUCUAGGAUAGUGACGAUCUUCUACUUACCUUUUGAGAUUUAGUUCGAGUUAAGCUUGUAGUGAGUGUGGAGGGUCACCACGUCGCCUAAUAAUUGAAACGGUUAUCGUACGAUCACAAGAUACGACCCUUUCUACGUAUAUGGAAGUCGUAUUUAGAAUUCCUCUGACAACUCUCGGAAAAACACUUUGGGUAAGGGUACAUCAGAUUAUCCAACACACCGUGAAGUCGUUUCUACGUACGGUGGGACGUAGUAUUGAACACUCAACCUCGAACACGUGAUAGAAAACAUGUAUGUCAUGAUUCAAUUAUACCAUUUUUAUUCGUUAACAUGAACCUUAGCAG